rnacentral:lncRNA from 1 species
GGAUUAGGAGAGAACGAAAUAGAUAACAUCAUGUUAAUAUAAGGAAUUCCAUAACUACCCUCAAAAUCAAGAUGGCGCGUAUAUCUCCUGCACCCCGCCAAUUCUUCAACCCACCUUCCGAUCAUCUCUCCUAUAAUGGUUUUGCACAGUUAUUGAAGAAGCUGGAUAAACUGGUUGAAGAGAGAACCCUCUCUAGCGCCAAAUUGGAUUGACUUCUCCAUCUUUCUCUGGCUGCAAUCUGAUUGAAGAUAGAACCAGUUUGCUGGGAAUUUCGGUUAUAUGUUGAAUAACUUGGGAACACAGCGGGAGAGUUCGAGAUACAAGGAGAAAGAGAGAGUGAAGUUACUGAAGUUACUGGUUUAGGUUUAUAAUUUUUAAAUUUUGACAUUUUUUUAUUAAAUGACUGUUUUGUCCUCACAUGGGUUGUACAUGACCUAAGUUAACUGAAAGUUUUAAUCAGGUUAGG